rnacentral:lncRNA from 1 species
UCUUGGCUUCUUCAGCUUCAUCUUUCGUCACACCUUCCUUAAACUUCUUCGGCAACCCUUCAAUGAGCUCCUUGGCUUCCUUCAACGCCAAGCUAGUCAAAGCCCUUACCGCUUUGAUCACUGCAAUACGGUUACUGCUGGGCACUUCAUUGAUAACCACAUCGAAUUCGGUUUGCUCUUCCACAACCGCCGCCGCACCACCGUCUCCCGGAGCAGCCACAGCCGCCGCAGCAGGAGCUAGAGAGAGUGGUGAGACACCGAAUUUAUCCUGGAGGUAAUCGACGAGGAUGCGUGCUUCUUCUAGGGUCAGAGACGAGAUCUCGGAACCAAUCUUCUCGAUUUUCUCUGGAGCUUCGACGGCGGCGACGGGACGGAGGUUGAUUGCGCGGUGGCUGAGCGUGGAAGAAGAAGCGCCAAAGCGAGCCGGGAAUUCGACUCCGGUGGGUCGGGAAGGAAAGCGAUGGACGGAAGCGAGAGUGGGAGAAGAUGAUGAACGGAUUGAGCUUGCGAUGGAAAGAGUCGUCGCUGCCAUUUUCGCUCUUCCUCUUGGGAUUUGUUUUGUGUGUCUCUCUGAGUGUGUUUGUUGGGAUAGAUGGAGAAGAUGAGAGGAUAAAAAAACCAAGGAUAAGGGGUAAUUUGGAAAAUAUAAUAUAUGCGUACGCUUGCUGUAUUAUGCGCGUGUAUACACACCAUGGGACUUAAAAGCAAAAAGGGGCGUUCCGAGAAUCGAACUCGGGACCUCUCGCACCCAAAGCGAGAAUCAUACAACUAGACCAAACGCCCUCGUUGAUAUAUUGAGCCAUUUUUCUACUAAGUCCUCAAAAAUAUUCAGAGUUUGUAGUGGAACUGUGGAACAUUCUCCAUUUCAAAAGAAGCAUAUACAUAAUUGUAUUCAGAUUUUAUACUAGUGUACUCGCAUUGAUAGCCUACUAAUACCAAUGUUGAUGGACACCUAAUCUUUUUCAGCUUUCUACAAUAUUUGUUGCUUUUGUUUUCGCAUCUGUAGUCUAAUAGAACGUUGUAAAAUCUUAGAGGAAUGCCUUCUCUGCUUCAAAGCAGAACAACUCUUUCUUCAUUCUGCUUUAUAUGAUUGGUGAAGACAGCUACUUUGGAAGCCAUGCAUGUCUCAUAUAGUCAAAAGAGUCAUACUAUGUUCAUGUCUCCUAAAUCCGUGUAUGAGUAUGUGACUUCUCCCAUUUCCUAUUUGAAGCUAGGCAUUUCUACAAACAUGUUAUCUACUUAUCUGCAGUUACUAAAGAAGCACCCUACAAUGGCUAAAUCCCUUUUCGGAAUCCAAAUUGAUUCACAUUACAAUAAUUUCUCAAACCUGAAUCAACAAUCCCAGACGCAAACUAUGCUAAACAACACCAAACAAACAAAAAACGUUCCAUAAAAUUCCACAAAAGAAGAACACUUUUACAUUUCCGAAUUUCAAGAAGUUUAAGCAAUGGAAACCUUAGCACCAGCUUCUUCAAGCUGCUUCUUCGCUUCUUCAGCUUCAUCCUUCGUCACACCCUCCUUGAACUUCUUCGGCAACCCUUCAAUGAGCUCCUUGGCUUCCUUCAACGCCAAGCUAGUCAAAGCCCUUACCGCUUUGAUCACUGCAAUACGGUUACUGCUUGGCACUUCGUUGAUAACCACAUCGAAUUCGGUUUGCUCUUCCACCACCGCCGCCGCACCACCGUCGCCCGGAGCAGCCACAGCCGCCGCAGCAGGAGCUAGAGAGAGCGGCGAGACGCCGAAUUUAUCCUGAAG